AGUCAGGAGUCGCUGCCUGGGUUCGAGUCCUAGUUAAAUUACUUAGUGCUGAGACCUUGGGGUAGGUAAACUUUUCCAAGCCAGGUUUAUCUCAGUUUCAAAAUAGGGUUAAUCGUCUUUAUCUGGCAGGUCAGGUGGGAUGUCUCACAGGUAAGCACCAGAUGCCAUUUGAAAGGCUUGAAGCAAAGUCAAUAAAGCAUUCAUGGGAAAAUACAACUGGAGGCACCACUAGAUUUUCGUAUACAUUAGGUUCCCACGGGGAGGACCGAAGAGAGAAGAAAGAAGUGGAAAGGGAGGAGCGUGCAGGAGAGACAGGAGAAGAGAAUAACUAAACAAAGACAUUAAAGACAAAAAAAAAGUAGGAAAGGGAGACUUAGAAAAUAUUAAAAGCCACCAAAAACACAUCCAAAGACGGUUUCCCCUUACGUUAGUUGGGCUAAAAGAAAGCAAAUGGGAAGAAGGUUUUAAAUUGAUUAUCCCAGUGACAAAUCCCAGGAAGCUUUCACAUCAAAUCACCCUAUUCUGGGUUUUUAACUCCUUCCAUCGAGUUUAACCUCUUUACCUCCCACAUCCUGGUAAACCCUGCCCCCUCCCUACCGCCCCCUUUGCUGGUGAUUAAAUCCUGAAGGUACACGAAGUAUUUCAGUGAAUGAAUGGCUAACAGAAAAGGGCCUCCCCUCCCCCUUACCCUGGCGGUGUUUUUCAGUUUUAUUCCACUUUCCGCCCUUUUCCCUUAAUGAACACAGGGCUAAUCUCGGGCCUUGUCGAAGGAAGAGGCUGCAGACGUUAAUGAGGUUAGCUGCUGGAUUCCAGUAUUCGUCGCAUAAGGAUCCUUCUUUGUCUGCGAAGGAAAAACACACUGAUUAUCAUAAUGAGGUGAACUGGCCACCGCCGGGCCGGGGCGAUGUGGCUUCUUAAGCCACACUUCUAAUUUUGGUGAUGGAGCCGACAUUUCUUUGGCUUCUCAUUUAAGUCUUUGCCUCUGUCCCAGUGCGAAGUCCAUUCAGCGGGGUUGAAAGUUGCAGGCAGCUUUGGGAAGGGGGGCGUCGGACAGGGUUGCAUUGUAGAAAGUGGCUUUGUUCGAUCCUUCGCACAGAUGCAAAUGGCCAGAGCAUUCAUUCCCUUUCUUCAAGAGCUGAGGACUGGGGGGGCCACUGGUGAUCAGUUCCCAACUCUAGCUCUCCUCUGACUCAUCUCAGGACCCAUUGAGGACAUCCAAAACUCACUCAAGAUCACCAAGUGGUAGGAAAGUACUAACUCCUGGGCAUAGCCCUAGGGGAGUGACUACAAUGUGAAUACUCAUGGAAUGCCUAGCCAGGUGAAGAAGUGAAUGCAUGUUGGCAUCCCAGAGGGACCCCCCUUAAGAGGGCAUAGUUUGGGGUUCAGAUUUGACUCCAGCAUACUGUUGAAAUUGGGCACAGGGGGCUAGUGAUUAGUCAGGAUCAAUCAGUGGAGAGGAGAUUAAAACUCACAUCUGGGAGUCCGGAAUCAGAACUUGUAGUUCUUUUUUUUGAAAUGGAGUCUCGCUCUGUCGCCCAGGCUGGAGUGCAGUGGCGUGAUCUCGGCUCACUGCAACCUCUGCCUUCCGGGUUCAAGCAAUUCUCCCACCUCAGCCUCCUGAGUAGCUGGGAUUACAGGCGCCCACCACCACAGCCGGCUACUUUUUGUAUUUUUAGGAGAGACGGGGUUUCACCAUGUUGGUCAGGCUGGUCUUGAACUCCUGACCUCAUGAUCCACCUGCCUUAGCCUCCCAAAGUGCUGGGAUUACAGGCGUGAGCCACCAUGCCCAGCCCUAUAGUAGUUCUUCUUUUGCCCCUUAAUAUCUUCACCCACAUGUCCUGUACCCUGCCUGAACCCUCCUCCUCUUUUUGUUCUGAUCUUUGAGCUCCCUAGAGCCCAUAAUUCUUUAGAGCAGGUAUGUCCCGAGUCUGAAACAUGCCCUUAUUUGUCCCAAGCUCUGGACAUUUCUCACCCCAAGGCGGAUCAAUCAUGAUUAAAUCACUCCAAUUAAACUUUAGGCUCCAGUCAGACCUUCAGCCAAAUGGAAAAAAAAACUAGGGGAUAAGGGAGGUAGUUGGAGCAAGAAAAUGUUAUUAGUUGAAACCUUACGGGACCUUCCUCCCUUAGUGAGUCUGUUGGCUAAAGGUUCUCUGGCUUCGUGAAUUAGAAUCGGAUACUGUUUCCAAGUUAGCAAAACCAACUCUACCCCAGCACCCCACGAGGAAGAAUGUGGAAGGAUCUCCCAUUGGCCGGUUGGGGCAAAAGCCUGAGGCAAUCUUUCAUCCCCUUUUGCCAAGGCGAGACUUUCCCAGUGACGGUGAUGUAGUUGGCCACUCUGACUAUGGGUGGACUCGGGUGUAGACCUCUGAAGCUGAGAUCACACGAAAACCUGGCCUCCCCGCCAUGUAGCUGUUGGAGAGUAGAAAAAUAGAGCACGCCUGAUGUUUCUAAAUGAGAAGACUUUCAAUAGUAAUGAAGAAUCCAUGGCACUCUCCUCACCCUCAAACACAUGGCAGUCAUUCACAUACAGGCCCCAAAGCCACUGUUAGUGCUGCAGUAGCUCCUGUGGACAUUGGAAAGCCCGGAGAGGGCGUGGAAGAAAUCAGCUGGCCCCCGGCAGGUUCUCUGGGGUUUUGUGCCCAAGGCUCCUGGAGCCCUAAAAACUUUCAAAAGUUAACUCCCCACGUCCCCAUCCUGCUUGGGUUUCUGGACUUUUCUGAGGCACCGGCAGAGGGGUCUCGUUGCUCCCUUGAGUGUAGGGGCAGCCCUUUAACCUGGCUCCUUGAGUCCCUGCUUUUUCUGCUUCUGUUGCCUUCUUCCUCGUCUUCCUCUCUCUCAAUAUCUCCCUCUCUUUGUCCCUCCCCAGUUCCUGACCUGGCCAUCCCGGGGUGCCCUUGACCAGCCCCGUGUCUCCUCAGGGUGUCCCAGCACCAGCCUGGCACAGAGUGGGGCUCAGUUAGAGUAUGUGGGAUGUUGGUUUCGCCAGGUGAGUGAAUGAAAGGACUCGACCACCACAGCUGAGCCACUAGCUGGGCCAUGCGAAGAGUUCUAGGUGCAAAGGCUGGAGGGUGGAAUUCAUUUUUGAGAGGUGUGUGAGCAGCUUCCGACCCCUGCCCCAUUUGAACGGGGGCCUUGCUGGUCGCGUCCCUGCAUUCACCCGCGCGGCCAUCCCGUCAUCCAACAGUUGAUCCUAACUGAGCACGCCCACGGCCCUGGUCUGGCCUGGGCACCGGCCACCGUAGCCCAUCCCUUGAUGGCCUCUGUGUCCCCAGGAGGGCGGGCCGGGGGGUUGCCCAGGGGCUGGAGCAGUGGACUGUGGCUCCAUAGAGGUAGGCCGGAGGGUGUGAGGGCAGAUUCAAGCUAUCCCCAGGGCUCUGCUCUGGUCGGAGCCAGCCCCUUCUCCCUCUCUGCCUUCCCCGCCCCAUUCCUGAUGCUGAACUGUUCUGGACCCCUGGCCCUGAGUCUCUCAGGACCAAAGUGGGCACGGGAACAGCUGUAGUGUGUGCCCCCCCGGGCUUUGGCCACAGGUCUCCCUCUCGAGGUGUGGUUGUGACUGCGACCCUUCCCUUGCCGUGAUGCCUUCCUCCCCCGGGGCUUGGUCCAGCUCCUUCACUCUCUAGCAGCUGCUGGGGCCCACCUCCCAUGCCGAGGACCAGCAGGGGAAACCUCCAGGGAGCAUCUGCAGGCUCUGCUUCUGCCCGGCUGCUGGCUUGCUCUCCCUGGUGGCUCUCCAGCGGCCAGCUUCCUCACCCACCCGGCACUCCGCUUUGCUCUGUCUCCUGAGGUGGGCCUGACCAACCUCCCCUUCUCUGCCUCAGUCCCUGGGCUCCAGGGCUCAGCUCCACAGCCCUCUGCCUAGCAGGCUGGUUCUCCCUGCCAAGCCCAUACCUGUGGUCACCUGGCCCUCCUGUGGUCUGAGUACCACUCCCCUGCCCCAGGAGCCACUCCCACUCCAGCUGCCUGUUUCCAGCAGGUUCCCAGUGCCCCCGACAAGCCCCUGCUGGUGUCUCCAUCUCCUGCCAAGCAUCCUCCAGUGCCUCCUCCUGUGGGCCUGGCCUCAGGGCUAUGGACAGACUCCUGUCCCAUCCCAGAGACCCCUCGUGAUCGUGCCCUGGCACGUGGGCCGUGGCCCGGCUGGGUCGGCUGAAGAACUGCGGAUGGAAGCUGCGGAAGAGGCCCUGAUGGGGCCCACCAUCCCGGACCCAAGUCUUCUUCCUGGCGGGCCUCUCGUCUCCUUCCUGGUUUGGGCGGAAGCCAUCACCUGGAUGCCUACGUGGGAAGGGACCUCGAAUGUGGGACCCCAGCCCCUCUCCAGCUCGAAAUCGGCAGACUAGGAUGGAAGUGCCCUGUG
rnacentral:lncRNA from 10 species